rnacentral:rRNA from 1 species
GUAAUGGAGAGUUUGAUCCUGGCUCAGAAUGAACGCUGGCGGCGCGCCUAACACAUGCAAGUCGAGCGAGAAAGCUCCUUCGGGAGCGAGUAUAGCGGCGGACGGGUGAGUAACACGUGAGAAUUUCCCCUUCAGUGAAGAAUACCUUCGAGAAAUCGAAGUUAAUACUGCAUAAACCCCUUCGGGGGCAAAGGUGGCCUCUUGCUACCGCUGAAGGAUAAGCUUGCGGACUAUCAGUUUGUUGGUGGGGUAAAGGCCUACCAAGACUAUAACGGUUAACCGGCCUGAGAGGGUGUACGGUCACAAUGGAACUGAGACACGGUCCAUACUCCUACGGGAGGCAGCAGUGAGGAAUAAGGAAUAUUGCGCAAUGGGCGAAAGCCUGACGCAGCGACGCCGCGUGGGGGAUGAAGGUCUUCGGAUUGUAAACUCCUGUUAAGUGGGAAGAAAAGCCUGGCCAUAAUACGGCCAGGUGUUGACGGUACCGCUAAAGAAAGCACCGGCUAACUUCGUGCCAGCAGCCGCGGUAAUACGAGGGGUGCAAGCGUUAUUCGGAAUUAUUGGGCGUAAAGGGUGUGUAGACGGCAUGUUAAGUCAAUUGUUAAAUUCUCCGGCCUAACCGGAGGCAAGCGGUAGAUACUGAUAUGCUAGAGGAUGGAAGAGAGAAGUGGAAUUCUCGGAGUAGCGGUAAAAUGCGUGGAUCUCGAGAGGAACACCGAUGGCGAAGGCAGCUUCUUGGUCCACUCCUGACGUUGAAACACGAAAGUGUGGGGAGCAAACAGG